UCGGAACGUGCCCAGUAGCGGGGGAUAACUACGCGAAAGCGUAGCUAAUACCGCAUACGCCCUACGGGGAAGGGGGGAUCGCAAGACCUCUCACUAUUGGAGCGGCCGAUAUCGGAUUAGCUAGUUGGUGAGGUAAAGGCUCACCAAGGCUUCGAUCCGUAGCUGGUUUGAGAGGACGACCAGCCACACUGGGACUGAGACACGGCCCAGACUCCUACGGGAGGGCAGCAGUGGGGAAUUUUGGACAAUGGGGGCAACCCUGAUCCAGCAAUGCCGCGUGUGCGAAGAAGGCCUUCGGGUUGUAAAGCACUUUUGGCGGGAACGAAACGGUGCCGGAUAAUACCUGGCGCCACUGACGGUACCCGCAGAAUAAGCACCGGCUAACUACGUG
rnacentral:rRNA from 1 species